rnacentral:rRNA from 1 species
AUUGAACGCUGGCGGCAGGCUUAACACAUGCAAGUCGAACGAGUGGCGGACGGGUGAGUCAUGUUUGGGAAUCACGCUUAUGGAGGGGGAUAACUACGGGAAACUGUACCUAUUACCGCGUACCAUUGGAUGAGCCCAAGUGGGAUUAGGCAGUUGGUGAGGUAAAGGCUCACCAAGGCGACGAUCUCUAGCUGGUCUGAGAGGUUGACCAGCCACACUGGGACUGAGACACGGCCCAGACUCCUACGGGAGGCAGCAGUGGGGAAUAUUGCGCAAUGGGGGCAACCUGACGCAGCCAUGCCGCGUGAAUGAUGAAGGCCUUCGGGUUGUAAAGUUCUUUCGUUAGCGAGGCGUUAACUACAGAAGAAGCACCGGCUAACUCCGUGCCAGCAGCCGCGGUAAUUC